rnacentral:rRNA from 1 species
GAUCCUACGGGGGGCAGCAGUGGGGAAUAUUGCACAAUGGGGGAAACCCUGAUGCAGCAACGCCGCGUGAGGGAAGAAGUAUUUCGGUAUGUAAAGCUCUAUCAGCAGGGAAGAAGAUGACGGUACCUGAGGAAGAAGCCCCGGCUAACUACGUGCCAGCAGCCGCGGUAAUACGUAGGGGGCAAGCGUUAUCCGGAUUUACUGGGUGUAAAGGGAGCGUAGACGGCUGCGCAAGUCUGAAGUGAAAGCCCGGGG